ACGCUGGCGGUAUGCUUAACACAUGCAAGUCGAACGGAAACGAUACUAGCUUGCUAGUAGGCGUCGAGUGGCGGACGGGUGAGUAACGCGUAGGAAUCUGCCUGAUAGUGGGGGAUAGCCCGAAGAAAUUCGGAUUAAUACCGCAUAAUCUAUUCGUAGUAAAGUGGGGGACUUUCGAGCCUCACGCUAUCAGAUGAGCCUGCGUAAGAUUAGCUUGUUGGUAGGGUAAAAGCCUACCAAGGCGACGAUCUUUAGCUGGUCUGAGAGGAUGAUCAGCCACAUCGGGACUGAGACACGGCCCGAACUCCUACGGGAGGCAGCAGUGGGGAAUAUUGGACAAUGGGGGCAACCCUGAUCCAGCAAUACCGCGUGUGUGAAGAAGGCCUGAGGGUUGUAAAGCACUUUCAAUUGUGAAGAAAAGUUAGCGGUUAAUAACCGUUAGCCUUGACGUUAACUUUAGAAGAAGCACCGGCUAACUCCGUGCCAGCAGCCGCGGUAAUACGGAGGGUGCAAGCGUUAAUCGGAAUUACUGGGCGUAAAGCGUGCGUAGGCGGUUUAUUAAGUCAGAUGUGAAAGCCCCGGGCUUAACCUGGGAACUGCAUUUGAAACUGGUCAACUAGAGUAUGGUAGAGGAAAGUGGAAUUUCUGGUGUAGCGGUGAAAUGCGUAGAUAUCAGAAGGAACAUCAAUGGCGAAGGCAGCUUUCUGGACCAAUACUGACGCUGAGGUACGAAAGCGUGGGUAGCAAACAGGAUUAGAUACCCUGGUAGUCCACGCCGUAAACGAUGAUAACUAGCCGUUGGGGGGAUUUACCCUUUAGUGGCGAAGCUAACGCGUUAAGU
rnacentral:rRNA from 1 species